GCGGAGUCAAUCCUUUUUACUUCCGUGUUGUGCAACGAGCUGCUGUUACUACACAAUGAAAAUAUUUACUUUUUUAUUAUUAAUUUUUGCGUUUAUGUUCGCAGACUGCGUCAAUAUUGAGGAAACCACUGGGCAGUUCUUCAGCAGUGGGCAUACUAACAACUGGGUAGUUCUGGUGUGUACAUCCAGAUUCUGGUUCAACUAUCGCCAUGUAGCCAAUACUCUGUCUGUGUACAGAAGUGU